GAGGGGNNGCUAUACAUGCAAGUCGAGCGGACAGAUGGGAGCUUGCUCCCUGAUGUUAGCGGCGGACGGGUGAGUAACACGUGGGUAACCUGCCUGUAAGACUGGGAUAACUCCGGGAAACCGGGGCUAAUACCGGAUGGUUGUUUGAACCGCAUGGUUCAGACAUAAAAGGUGGCUUCGGCUACCACUUACAGAUGGACCCGCGGCGCAUUAGCUAGUUGGUGAGGUAACGGCUCACCAAGGCAACGAUGCGUAGCCGACCUGAGAGGGUGAUCGGCCACACUGGGACUGAGACACGGCCCAGACUCCUACGGGAGGCAGCAGUAGGGAAUCUUCCGCAAUGGACGAAAGUCUGACGGAGCAACGCCGCGUGAGUGAUGAAGGUUUUCGGAUCGUAAAGCUCUGUUGUUAGGGAAGAACAANUGCCGUUCAAAUAGGGCGGCACCUUGACGGUACCUAACCANAAAGCCCCGGCUAACUACAUGCCAUCAGCCGCGGUAAUAUGUAGGUGGCAAGC
rnacentral:rRNA from 1 species